GCUUGCCAAGAAGCUCAGGCUUUGGACAGACAUGCAGCCCUGACGCGCCUACAGACACAGAGACCUGACGGACAGAGUCCAGCUGGCGAGUCACGGCAGCAGUGAGUGGAACAGAUGUGUGAGGGGCUUUGAUCUAGGUGAGUACCAAAUGGGGGUGAGGAUCUACUGAAAGAGGGGGUGUGGGUCUGUAUCAAUAUCAGGAAAUGACAAGAAUAAUGUGUAUGUGUGUGUGCAUGUGUAUGGGUGGGGCUGGGGGUGUCGGCUAACCACUGAAAAUGUCAAAACAGAAACUUAUUUAUCUUCAAAUGAACUCUGGAGUUUUAGAAAAUUGUAUCAAAAUUCAUGGCAUUAGACUAGAGAUACUCCUGUCCUGAGUGACUAUUGUCUUAGAAGUUUCAAAAAAGGUCUAAUUCUUACUGAACAGUCCUAAUGUGAGAAAACUUUCAAAAUGUAGGGCAAUUUGUUCAACACAGCCAAACACUGUGGCUAACAUUAGCAGAGCUAACACCUCUAGAGUGAUGUCCACAUAAAUGUGCUGGCCAUGCAUUGCUCAGGUUGAGUAGUUAUACGCCUCUUUAACCAGACUCUGCUUUUGUAUAACUUGUAUAACUAACUAGCUCCAUUUUUCAAUCAAUAUACUACAUCUGCAACCUGUGCCUGUUACAUCCAGCAGAGCAUUAGAGCAUCAGAAGCCAGACCUUCAACCCUGGCUACGGUAACAGGAGCUCGUCUAAAGCUUAGACAGAGGUGAGGUUCAUGGCUGGUGAGGCACUGACUUCUUCAUAAUCAGAUUUUCAAACACAUGAAGAGAAGCUUAUUAACCAUUUGAUUGGCAGCAGUUAAUGAGUAAUGUUGAAAAUCUCAUAUCAGCUUUCUUCACAUGUACAAGCUGUUACACACAAAAAGCACAUUUAAUAUAAAAAACGUUAUUAUGGUUUUACCUUUACUUAUAAAUAAUAUUUAUAAAUGGUCUUCCUUUAAUUCUCAUCUCCUGCUUCAAUUGAAAGUCCAGUUUAGAAAAUUGUUUGAUUUUAGAUGUGUAAUCCCCUAUAAGUAAGGCCAGGGAAGAGGAAGAAAUAAACGGACGGCUGCCUUUUCACAGCCAUGUUACAAUUGCUCAGCACAAGAAACACGUUUCAUGCAUACAAUUGUUGACAAAAAAAAAAAAGACUGUACAUUGUAUACAUCAGCUUAACUGUGGAGAUUUAGUUCAUAUAGAAAAAUGGUUAUUUUAAUAACGACACACAGAGACAUAGCAAUAUGGUCUCACUGCAUAGCAUGCCAGUACAGUUGGUCGAGUCAUUGUACUCAUCUGGCUGCUGCCUCACCGCAUGUCUCUUCUCAGAAUUUGGAGAGUAAAUGUAAAAACUCUGCGAUUUUGAAUAAAAAAUCAUCUAAAACUGGUGAAGUUAAAUGAAAAAUACCUUCACAGUGCAAAUCACUGGAUAAAUAUAAUCGUUUAAUUAAUUUUUUUCAUUUUACUUUUUUUUUCACAACCUCUCCUGUCUCCCCUGACCACAUAUUAAUGUUUUCUUACAAGACUCUGUCUCCUUGGUGCCUUUACUGAUUGGUCUACCUAUAUACACAAUGUAACUUUAAAAUAAGUCUAUUGCUGCUGGUGUUAAAGUUUUUUAUAAGUCCAGUCUGUGAAACCAAAAAUACAGUCCUGUCAUUAGAUAUAUUCAGUAACCAAGCUGUACAUGAGUAGCUGCUCUAAAAUAAGAGAUUUUUUUGUUGCUAAUGAAAACCACAAAGACGUGAUCAGAUGGGUACCAAUGAAGCUAACAGUAAAUGUGGGCAAGUUUCUGGUCCAGAAAGGGAAAACAGGGAAAGAGUUUGAAUAGAAAAGAAUUUUUGAUAAAAAGAAGGGAGUGGAUAGAAGAUCUAAAGGACUUCGGUAAAGUAGAGAACAGAGGAUGGUGCAGACACUUGAUCAUAUAAACUGCAGCUUUGUAAGGAGUUUCAGGUUGUAUUCAUGCGUCAUUUAAAAGUGGAAAUUGCACCCAGUUCUAAUAAAAGACUAAAAAGUAAAGGGGGAGGAGAGAGAUCUCCCUCCUUUUUUAGGGGAAAUGAGAGUGCAGGCGGUGAGGAUGUGCCAACAUGAGAAUAAAAUAAAUCCUUCAGGGGAAAUUAUGUGAGCCUGUGUGUUUCACGCCUCCCCUCCAAACUUUUCCAUGUUAAUUAGGUAAUGUAAAACUAGCCAGAACAGCAAGACUCAGAAACGAGAUGAAAAAGAGUGUAAAAUAGCACAGUUAGAGGCCAUAAGACACACAUUUUUCUGUGUGCUGAGGAGAGAAAAUACUAAGCUGUAGUGCAUUAUUGAUGUGACACAUUGGCCCGCUGCUGUGUGCAGGUUUGUAAGCUGCUUGGUUGUUUCACAAAACGCUUUAACAAAGUGAAUCUUGUAGGGUAAAUUUUAAUGACAGGAAAUACCAAAGACACAUUUCAGAUCUAUUCACCAUGUUUGAAGUGUCUUAAGUAUGAUCCACCCUUAUAUAAUCAAAGUGAAACUAGCAUUUCACUCGGGAGUAUCUUCUAACAUUGCUCUAGAAAUGCAUGAAAAUGGAAUCUGUGGGAAGGAUUUGUCAAGGAAGGCUGGGAUGUUUUCAUCACCUCUUUUCUAUAUCAUUGUGCUGGUGGAGUAUUGUACAGAAACAACAUAAAUAUAGUUUUGUAGAUACUCGGCAUGCAGUGGACUUCAAUGCUGUUUUAUAGAGAGGCCAAGGAUAGAGUCAGUACUGAAUAUAGUGAAUACUGUGGUGAGUGUACACAUGUAUGCAAAAGUAAAAGAUCAGCUUUACUUACCCCGCAGUUACAGCCAAUUUGCUGUGAUCACAGUGACAAGUGUCUCCAUAUGGAUACUUAGUAAUUAGCUAAGAGGAGAUGGGGAAAGGUUGAAAUUGGUGGGGCAUCAGAGGACCUGUCAGAGUGCCCCACUCAUCUUGCCUCCCCCAAAAACCUGUCAAGAGACUUGUCUGGGGCCUGUACCCCUCAGUCCCCUCUCUUACACUUGGCUGCUCCAGUUAAUUGAAGCCACUUCAGAUCAGGCAGAGGAGCUGGAUCUGCACGCCUGAGAGGACCAUAACGCUCACCUGACCUGUCAGUCACCACUGCCUGCAGCGUGCAACAUGUCACUGCAUCCCAACUCAUUUAAGACUUGAAGCACGGGGGACCACAGGAAAUUCUCAGAACACACCCACUAAACCUACCUGAGUCAAUUUUACAAGGGUGAGCAUUUCUGAGUUUUAGACAGGUUUGCUACCUUCAGAUUUUACUUACUCUUAUUUAGACUGAGAUUGUUACGGUCUUUAAAUGAGGAAUAAUUUACGGUGAGCGGGUCAUUGAGACAGAACAUUCUGCUCAAUAGUCUGCCUAAUACAUGCUUACAGGACUACUAAGACAAAAAUCAACAUUUUAAAUAGAAAAUUCGAUUUGUGUCUUUAAAUUAUUUAGUAUUUAAAAUAAUCAGCUAUUAUAAUGACAAAAAUAAAAAUUUUGGAUUUCUUUUGUGAACAACCAGCUGUUGAAAAAGCCCCAACAGAGGAACUAUCCCUGUGCCAAACCACAUUUGAACACAGACUGUAUAAAGAGUGGAUGCUGCCUGCCUCCCCGCUGGGUGAUGCCACCAUGAGAAUAGCACCAACUGGUGACGGGCUGCAGUAUAGGUUAUAAAUCACGCCACCUCCAGCAAUCCCUAUGGAGCUGUGGACAAACUUUAGAAAUUUAUUACACAGAAUAUAAUUUUUCUCCCCCGGUUGUGAUAUUGACAUGUAGUUACAGUAAGACUGGUUUGUGCCCAAGUUCUUUUUUUUCUCUGCAGCUCCAUUCUCAAAAGUUAUUUGGGGGGUUCAUGUUUUCUAUGAUUGACACUUGAUACAGCCUAUGGGUGUACGAAGAUUGCGUAGCUCACCGGGGGGAUAUGCUGUUUGAGCCGAGCGUCAUCACAGCGACUCUUGGUGACUUGGUGACUGGGGCUUGAAAUAUUUUGACUUGUGGAGCUGUGGAGCUGUCGUGCCUUCUUCUUUUUUUUUUCAUACAGCCUGUAAACUGGACAUUUCCACUGCUGGUGAAGUGAAACAGUGUUUUGGUUACUCUCACAAUUAAAUUCAAACAGCUGCUCAGUAACGUCCACACAUUCUGGUUUUAAGGUGCUUUGUGUAGUUAGAUCUUUUUCUACAAGGAGUGACCCUGAAAAGCCAUUUUAUGACAGCAAGAAGACUAAUGUUGUCAUCUGGUAUUUGCUGAUGCUUGAAAAAGCAAAGUGAAACUUGAAGUCCAGAAGCAGCAAAAUGCUUCAGCAACACUUUCUAAACUCUGCAAAAGCCCCGAGUCCACAGAGCGCUGAAGUGACACACACUGCAAGUGGAUUUGUUUUGACUAAUUUUCCUCCCUCGUGUCUUUUGUUGAUAGAUUACAGCUGAAUUGAAAAAGUGUUUGGGUAUCAUAGAAGCCAGCAUUGCAUGCGUAAAGCGACUACUUCUUCCAUUAUUUGGACCAAAACAAGCCCACUGUGGUUUGUAAAGGCCACAGAAAAGAUACUCUCAUUAUCCCUGCAGAGCAAUUUGUCCUUUUCUUUGGCCACAGCUCAUGCUUCCAAACAUGAGCAGCAGCUCUUAAGGGGGAAUACUGUUUGUUGUCACUACCUUGCAAAGGUUUUGACUAUUCCAAACACAAGCUGUAGUAAGUCUGGACCAGUGCAGGUAUGUAAAAAAACUAGGUUGAGGUAAAGAAGUGAGCUUAGAUAAAAAGAAAAUGAGUAACAGAGGAGUCUUCACUGGAGGAGGUGAUAGGACCUUGCCACAGAAUAUUUCUUAUAAGGAAAAUGUUCCAAUGUAGAGGCUCUAGUGUGCUUUAUCACCUGUUUCUGGACCAUUGCACUUAAUUUGAAUGAGUCUCCACCUUUAUUGUCAAUUUGAAACAUCUUUAUGAGCGAGCACAGACCAAAAUGCCUUUGGACACUUUAUUUUCAAGAGGAGAGAUGACAUAAACUAUCAAAAUAGCAUUAUAUUUUUAUCUUUGCUGCUGAGAUACUUUUAUUGAUAAGCCACAGCCAAAUGUGGGUGUUUGUAUUAAAAAAUAGAAAGAAGCGCUAUGUAGAUUAGACUCGUUGCACCAUUACUUCUUGGGGUGACACUAAUGACAUGAAUGAGGGUAAUGUGGACAGCGGUUAAUUGGCUGAAGAAGAAUUUGAUGGCAGCAAAGCAGCAGAAGGAGAGGUUGGCAGGAUACAGCCAUACGUGAAAAGAAGUUAAGAGAUGCAUACGCUACUUUAACACCAAAAAGAGGGAAGAAGAAAAAAGGAGAGAGGAAGGACAAAGCUGUGCCAGCUCUUUAUGCAGAGACGAGACGAGUCAGAGGAUGCACCCAAGUCUGCCCAAGAGAAUUUUACUCACCUGUGAUGGUCUCCAGAGUCUUAUAUGAUAAUUACUGCCUAGUUUAUUGACAGCAUGCAGAGAUACACUCGGAUGUGCUGCACAGGACUUAGAUCACCACUUAUAAAGCAGAGGUUUUACUGAAGGCUAUGAAAGCUCAUUGGUAAAUACUCUGCUGCAGUUAUUGACAUAAUGGCAAAUACGGCUGUGGCUGUUACAGGUUUUGUCAUUCAGAGUUUAUAAUUGAAAGUUAAUGCAUAAAAUAUGAACAAAUUCACAAAUACAAGCUGGAUUGGUUUACCACUAGUUCAAGGCCUACAGUUAGUUUAUAGUUUUGUUCAUUUAAUUUACAGACCAGAAACAUACAAACCGUUUUAAAUUUGUGACUUAAAACCAAAGUAGUAAAAAAAAUUCCUCCUAACAUUUCCUUUAAAAGGGCUGUUAGAUACCAGGACAUAUUAUUUGAUCCUCUUGCAUUAUAUAGAAUAUUCCAGUAUUAGUGCAUCGAUAUAUUAUUGUGAUAGUGGGACCCAGUAUUGUGGCAUGUUGUGUGUUAUCGUCUCAUGAUGCAUCAAAUAAUGUCAUAUUGUAGUGUUUAUUUAUAUCAUAUAUUAUAAAAUUUUUCACAUCCAAUUGUAUCGUGUCUUGUAAUAUCAUAUCGUAACCUUUUAGAUUGUAUAUUAUAGUAUAGGGAUGUAAUGAUACACCCAAUUGCAGAUUCAAUAUGAUUCCGAUUCUGGGUUGACGAUACCAUUUUCUCUCUGUUUUUAUUAUUUUUUUUAUUAUUUUUUUUUACAAAAAUUUAUGCUGACAAAUUAUGACUGAAAAAGAUUCUUUCAAUUAUUUCUCAGGACAAAAAACAAACAAACAAAAAAAAACACAUUUCUGAGGUAAGGUGUAACUUGAAAAAACAUUAUGCAAUGAAUGCUUAUGUAAAAAGCAUUAUUAUUAUAUAUAUAUAUAUAACUACAAAUUCCAUUGUCUCUUAUCUUUAACAAAUUAAUGAGAACCCUCUUUUUAUUCCUCUGAGGUAGAGCAAACUGUGUAAUACAAUGUAUACGUCCUCUUAUUAAAGUGCAUUAAACAACAACAAAUAGAAAUAAAUUAAUUGGGUUCGGAUAACUACUGUUAUACUACUGGAAACGGAUGUCAUCCAGGCGCAGCUCUUGAAGGAGACAUGGCGGUAACAUGGCGAAGCCUACAUCUCUGACAGUUGUGGGCCUUUUUGUGUGUAGAUACAAAUUAAGCGAGUGAAUGAUUUUAUUCGUGCUUGGUGUGAACGCACGGUAAGAAUGCUUACAGUGUCCCCAACAUCAUGGAUUUCUGAGUUAUACACAGGCAUUUCACCAGAAGUCAGUGCUGAGGAGCACGACUUCCACCGCUGGUUGCUGUUCGGGAUAGCAUUCAAUCACACCCAGACUGGUCUGUACAUCCUCGACUUCAAAAUCAUUUGCUGCCACUGUCAUGUCUCUUGCUAUGUCUGAAUCAGUGACACAUAACACCAAACAAAUAACGAUGUUGAUCACGUGAACGCACCCUUUGCUGUUUAAAAAGGGCACCGCAAAUCAUUUUCAUUUCAGCCGAUUUGAUUUGAUUUGUCACACAUUUGAGUUGAUUUUUAACUGUCUCGUGAUUCAUUGUAACAUCCUUAUUAAAGUAUCUUUUUAUAUCAAAGCACAGCAAAUCAUACUGUUUUGAGGCGUAUAUAACUGUGCUGCAUUGUAUGGUAUGGUAUAAUAUUGCAUCAUAUUAUAUGGCAUUGUAUCAUAUCAUAUCUUUUCAAACUGAAUGAUGCCGUGUUGAAUUGUAUGAUAUGUUUUUAUUGUAUCAUGUUGUAUGUAAUAAUAGUAAUGCUGCAUGAAUUUAUAUAUACAAAACAAAAGACUGCCUACUUGGUUAAAAGGACUACAUCUGCUUUGUUGUUCAGUCAUUGUGGGCUGUCAAAAUGAUAUUUAUUUCAGAGAAUGAUUUGUUAUAAGAAUUGACACAGAUUCAGUACACAUUCAUUAUCAUACGUCACUGAUCUUACAACUAUCAACACUCACUCUACAAAGAUGGCAAAUACAUAUGCUGUAAUUUUAAUCAUCUUUAAUUUCUUGUAAUUUUGCCAUACCCCAUAUUCUUUGUAACCACAGUCUUACUGAAAAUGUUGCAAUGCUGUGUUAUAAUGCACAUCUAUCGUCCACCAAAACUGUUUCCUUAAUCUUAACUUUUGUGACUUACAAAUCAUCCAACUGAUGAAGAGAAAGGGAGACAAAGAGGAAGAGGUGGGCUAGGUCAAGCAGCUGUGUGCAGGGAGCACAGGUACAGGUGUGCUUCAUGUGUGCAGGAGUAGAGCGGGGAGAGGAGGUGCUGAAAGAAAACAAAACUAUUGGUUUGCAGGAGCUUUCAAUUAAUUUUCAGUUGCAGAAUAGAUUUCAACUAAUAUAUGAAAUAAUUGUGGUGUAUAUGAAAUAUAGGUAAAAUAUCUGUGAAUUAAUCAAACUCACUAAAUUGCCAGUCCUAGCUUUAAAGUUUUUUGACUGGCUGGUAAUGUUAUUACAUCCCGUAUUUUCUCUGGAAAUGAACUCUAAGUGAUGUUGUAAUUUAAAGUUAUUCACUCAUUGGCACAACAGGCUGUUGAUAAGCAUGGCAGACGCUUUACAGUUUGAACCUAAAGGUCUUCCACUUGAGGGAUUGUCACUGCAACACCCUGUUGCCCACAAAGGGGAAAUGUAUCCAUCACUAAUCCUGCUGGAGUUGUGCAGAGUUGAACACUUUCCCUUCGAUGUUGUUCUCUGCUGUUGGUUCUGCAAUGCUGCCUCCCAUAACACUGAACACAGGGGAUGUGUGAAGUAAAACCACAGGGAAUAGAUCUUUCUGAGACAAGCCACUCGGGAGUGAACGUCUAAAAUGAGAAGUGGAGCUUGUGUAUUGUUUUAAAUGCCAGCCUUGUCCUCGUUCAGUGUGUGAGCCUUUGGUUGUAGCUCAGUCAGCUGACAUUUAAUGCUCAGCUGUUUCUCCGCUGCUUUAGUAUAGGCUUUAUUGUUACCGGCGUGAAUAUGAACGGACAGAUGUGACAGCUGGCCAGCCAUAUGUGACAAGCCUUUUAGAUCUUUAUGCCUUAAUUAUCUCCUCCUGUGGGACCAAUAUUGACAUUUUAGGUCUUAACAUUCAGACCUUACAAACGGCCAGCCUCCAGUUGGCAUUAUCCGUCUCUUGGCAACCUCCGAGCCAACAGAGAAAGGUGCUAGAUUACUGCUCAGGGCUAAAUUCCUCUCUGUCAGAGCUUCAAAUUUUAUCACACUGUUGUAAAAAUCAUCCUCAAAUAAUAAGUAUGUCUAUAUUUUCAAGAGGUUCUCAGGUAGCAAGGGGUCAUUUUCAUUUAAUUUUACAGUCAGGCCCUAAGAAGUCAUUAGAGGCUCUUACAAAAGCCUAAAGAUAAAACUGCAGUGUUUCCCCUAUAGUGUAUUUGGCAAGGUGCCCUGCCCUGCCAACGGAUACCCCUGCCCUGCCAACAAGAUCCCAACACAGAAAUUGAAGUUGUGUAUUAGUAUACGUUUAAUUUUUAUAUUUAUCAAAACAACCCAUAAAAUAUAAUUGCGUAAUUUCAAGGAUUCAAGGAUUCAAGGAAUCUUUAUUGUCCCGGUGGGGCAAAUCGCUUUUCAGACUCUUAAGCUCACGAUCGUUUAAUUACUUUCAAGAAAAAUUUACCUCUGUGCUCCUCUGCGAUGAGUGGGGCUCUCCUCUCGCUCCUCUCUCUAGCUCAUACAUGCAUGCUGACAUGAAGCGCCAUGUGUUUCAGAGGUGUGGCAUGUCAGCACCACUGAUUUUGGUAUUCUGGUUGCGUGUGCUCGCCGCUCAUACCCUGCCAGUUUUGCGCAGGAUGGUUUUGACCCCCCCCCCCCCCCCCCCAGCGUGAUGCAGACGCUGCACAGUCUUUUGUGGAUGCUAGCUUAAGCGCCGCUCCGAGCCUUGAAAACAGCGCUGGCUUAUCACCCCCCACCACCCUUUAUGAUGUAGACAUUCAUCAUACAGGGUGGUGGGAGAUGAGCCAGCCAUUUUUAACCGCCAACCAUAUAAAUGUUUGUUCCUCCUGCAUACUCAGGAUAGGAAGCUCAACCGCUGCUACGCUUUAGCAUUACAUGCAAGAGGUCAGCAUUUCACUUGACAGAGUACAAACUGCUGGAAUCUCAUAAAAAAGACGCUCCAAUCAAGUUAACUUCUACCACAGGUGCAUUAUAAGCUUUAAGACAUGCUGUAUAAUGUUAAAUAAUCACACUCACAUACUUUGAAUUUGUUUUAGUCAGUUCCCUCUGCUAACAGGUCUCCAUUAAGGAGACUUUUUUUUGUCAGCCAGUGGUAACAUCUCAGAAGUCUUGCCAUACAGAACAACUAUCAGUUAAAAUGUACUACCCCAAAACACUCAGUAAUGCCAACUGGGACUGGAUUAAUAUAAUCAAAGGACUUCUCUCAUGAGUAUUUCCACUUUACAAAUUACAAAAAUGGUUUGGUUAAAAACACAGGCAUCCUCUGCAGUUAUUUCAAAUGAUCAAAGGUUUCCAGGUAAUACUAAUCCUGUGCAAAAAGGGCUUAGGAUCGCUUUCCUUAAGAUUGCAAAUAAUUAAAUUCCCAGAACUUUGAAAAGCUGUAAUGAUUUUAAUGCCUCUGGAUAAGAAGACAUUAAAUUGGGAAAUUCAUAUUUCAUCGUGAAAGCUCUAGUGAGAGGUUUUCUUGACAUUUGUGAAUAACACUGAAAUUCAAGUUGAUGUCUUUUUAUCAUAUCCAAAAACAAACAAGAACAGUGUGAGGAGGUAGGAGCCACUGAAGAAACAGCCCUGGUUUUACAAUUUUAUUAAUUGAAUUCAGUCUUCCCACCCUGAAUGUGAUUUUAUGUGUAAAUGGCAACAUAUAAAAAUGGCGUGUUUCGAAAAUAUAAAACAGUGGCUGAAAUAUUUACACAACUCCAAUCAGUGUCAGUGUUUCCAUUGUUGUGGGUAAUGACAAGGUUUAAAGUUGUUAUUCGAAUAUUUUUUCUUUGUUUCAUUUCUGCCUCUCUAUCUAUUCCCCAUCAGUGUCUGCCUCACCUGGGUCAUCCCACACAUUCUCAUUUUUCUUGUUAUCCGAGGUUCUAAUUUCAGUUGCCGCAGCAACCCUGCGGCUCUCUCCACUUCCUCCUCCUUCCUCAUCUCUGUGAGAUCCUUGUUAAGCGUGGCAGAGCUAGUUAAUGAUUGUGUUUUAUUUCUAUUUUCCCUCUGGUAGGGCUCCUUUUGAUGGGCCUCACAUGUCUUGACUCUUGUCUGUGAAGCUUCUUUCAUUUCAUGUCUGUCUCUCUUGCCUUUAUUUGUCCUUCCUUUUGUUCGUAUUUAGGGUCUGUCUUUGUGGUUUUCUGUUUUUCUCAUGACACUGCGGGCUGUCACUGUUAGCUGUCAGUCAUGUUGUAAAUUGUGGUCAGUCAAGGACACCGGGUGGACUGUGACAGUUUAUCCAAUCACAGCCUUGGAUGUAAAUGAGUUUGCUCAGUGUGUCUUGUCUGAUUGUUUGCUGUUUAUGCUGAUCAAACUCUUGGUUCGCCAGGAAGAGCUCACACUGCUGCAGCAUAAAUAGAGUACGGGAUGCAUAAAAAAAUCAAACUUUACACAUUUGGUAUUUUGUGUUCCUUAGACAGAAGAGCAGUUCUUUUGGUGUCAUUACAUCCCCACCAUAUGCGUCCUUUUCACAGCACAGUUUGUUGUUUACUGUCUCAUCUGUAACUGUUGGUUAUGUAGGAGUUUGCUUUAAAAUCUGAGUCUGCUGUUUCAGUUCCUCCUGCAAAUAAAAGAUGUCUUUACUGUGUAUUUUAAAGUAGAGAAGCACAAAUAUUUUCAACUCACAUGCAGACUUUAAAACUACAUUUUGUCCAUUUGUUAGCGACAGGUGCAUUCCUGUUUCCAGGCAUAAUUAUCACUUUGAAUGUAGUUAAUAUAUUUACAUAUAUUUUAAAAGAAUUCUUUACAUGCUCAUGUCCUGCUGUUGUUCACCACCAGUUUUAAAUCUUAUGGACAACAUUUUGUAUUUAGAGUGGUAGUAUCAUGUUUGUGGGAUAGGUAAUAGAAAGAUGGGAUUUCACCGCAAAAAUACUAGGUCAAAUUGUUGGAUGUCAAUGAAAACCCUGGGCAAAGUGUCACACUGUGAGGGAAACUAGUAGGAAUAAUCUUAGGAUCUUAGAAUAUAACUCUAAACAGCUUGUUGAAAAAGUCACAAAAAUGAAACGUAAGGGACUCGAGACUUAUCCAAUUUGUGAUGUCACCAAUUGGUGGACCUCCUUAAAAGGAACGUAACAAAUAUAAAACUUGCAGAAAAGAAGCAUCCUGCUUUGUCCUUCAUUGCUGGGGAUUUUCUUGUAUAUUCAAUAAUUUGUCAUAUUUAAUAGAGAAACACGUGUUUAUUCAGUAUUUGUGACUUUUUAGCAUGGCAACAGCGAAGGAGGCUUCUGUAGAGCAAGAACAUUAGCUAGUGGACAUACUCCCCUCUCAAUUGAAUUGGAAUACUACUUUUUUUUUUUUUUUUUUUUUUUUUUUUUAAACAAAAAGUUUUAAAACAGAGUUUUAACUCAUCUGACAGCUAUUGCUUUUGCCCCAACCUAUGUGCACCUUUACAGGUAGCCUACAUUUAGUUUAAAGAUCAGCACAUCGAACUACAUGGAAUUGGGAUGAUACAUGUUUUUAUUGGCCCAUGUCAACUCCUGUCCAAUUAGAGCUCAUGUCAGAAACUUUUUUUCUGGUCAAUUUUGGGGCCUCCUCUGUCGAUGAAGUAGUCGUAGCUCAUCUUAUCAUCUACAUGCUGAAGUAGUGUCCUCAGACAAUAGUCUCAUUCUGCUGACUGUUGAUAGUCAAAUGUUUAAUUUAAUCUGAAUGAUUAUGUGGAAAUUGUGUAAUCUUUCUUCAGCUGCUUGGCAAGACCCCCCAGCACAAAUUUAACACAUCAAGGGUAUGAUAUAAACAUACAUAGUCUUGUUUCUGUUGGUCUUACUUGCUUCUGUGCAUGAUAAAAUAUAAGUUGUAGUCUUUAUCAUAAAUAUCAAUAAAGUUUUCACAGGAGCUUUAACACGUACUUUGUGCUCUUGUGCAGAUGUCGAUUUAAAUUUAAGAAUUUAUGAUUUUUGUUUUUAUUGCUACUUUAAAACACUUUGCAGAUUGCCAAUAUAUUUUUGAACAUUCAGGUCACUGGAAAAAAAAUCCCUGAAACUAAACUUCAAUUUGAGUGAUUAAAUUUACCUGGAGAAUUAACUUAAACUGUUUACCUGAAGAUAGUUUGCCAAGAAACAACAGCUGUUGGGACUUAACUGUCUGGCUUAACACCUUGAUAAACACAGAUUUUGUUUUAGAUUUGUUGCUUAGUAGUUAAGCUUUCUUUAAAAAAUAAUUCACCUGAUCAGGUUUUAUUUCCUCUCUUUAUUCCUCUGAAUGUACUCCUUUUAUUUAUUUUGCACAAGCUCCUGUGAGGAGUUUCAGUUAUGUUAUGAAACACACAGAAGUUUCAAUCAGAGCAAACAAGACCAUCAGCAUAAAAACAGUCUGUUUCCUUCUAGCAAAUGUUGAUGUCUUAACCCUCCUCCUGUGUUAGGGUCUGCACCGACCCGUUUUUGUUUUUAAAUGCUUAAAAGAACCACUUAGAUUGGCUUUUUUGCAUUAAGACUUUUUGACUUCGUCAGGAACCUCUAUUUCAACAAAAUAAAGAUAAAAAUAUUAAAUUGACUAAAUUAUAAAAUGCUCUUAUUCAAAUUAUGGCACUUGUCAUGUUAGGGUCGCGGUCAGAUUAAUAUCUAAUAAUUAGAGCAAAACUGAAAUUAUAAGUGCACUCUCAGGCAUCACACUGACAGUCAGAUCCUCUUCCAAUCAUGUGAGAUUUAGGAAAUUCUCAUUUUGCAAUGUUUUUCUCUGCACAAAAAACAGCUGGCAUGUCCAGACAUGUGCGAUCCAUUCAGUAUAGAUAUCUGUAUGAGGGGUAUACUGACACAGAAAGGCCCAAAGGGCCCACAACAAAAACUAUUAUAAGCAAUAUCUUCAUGGAUAAUGAAACCUAACAAGGUAAACUAGAGAUGAGAACCAAGUUGGAUGAUAGAGAAAUGUUUUUACUGUAAUUUGCAGCUGAUUUAAGACACGGGUUGAAACCGAUCCUUAACAUAGUAGGUGCGUAGUAAAAGCUAACACAGGAGGAAGAGUAAACAAAUUAUGGGGGUAUGUGCCAGUUGUACAGAGUAGCUGCAAGCCCCUGAAGCUGUGUGCAUGUAUCUCUCAGUGUGCUGUCAAGGCUUUAUUUCAUGCCAACAAUAAGCUAAACAAUAAACCAUUCUUCCCUUCUCAGUAUCUUGAACCCCCUCACCAUGCCAGCUUGACAUUUGUUUGUAAAUAUCAUAGUUAAAGACUGUAUUUGAGAUACGGUAAUGUCAAUAAAGACCACAGUAGGGUGUCUAAAAUUGCCAGUCUUCAGGUUGUUUUAAAAUUGUACAUGAAUGUAUCCUGAAAUGCAAAGCCUUAUGGGUGAAUGAAAAUUAACAGUGGAUGAAAAUACAGCACUUAGAAAUUCUGUGAUUGGCUCUGAGGAAAACUCCUCCUUUUGUCUCUCAGGUUACAUCUUCAAGAUAAAUCCAUCUUGCUUAUCCAGAGGUACACGGACCUGAAUCUGAUUUGUUUUGACGCCUGUCUUCCUUGUUUGCUCUGCUCUCUCAGUUUCUGUCAGUCAAAACAGUCCUGAAUCUGUCUUUUUUGUUACUCCUUUUCACAUUGGUUGUAUUUUUCUGUGGACAAAGAAUAUUUGUGUUCAGAUAUGUCUGUGAAAGGAGAAAGCAGACUCGAUUGGUCUGCAUUAUUCCACACUUCUAAGUCCUCCUCCUUGUAUUUGUAUGAUAUUCAUCUACAUAGUUUGGGAUAAGCAUUGUCGGGGUCCUUUCUGUGAAGUUCUUCGCUUGUUUUGUCUGUUUAUCUGUCUCUGCGUCUAUCACCAUUUUGGCAUCUGCUGGAGCACAGGAAGUCUCUGUGGUGCUUUUGAAUGGCCGUUGAGAGACGGGAAUGUGCCCGCCUGACUCAAAUGACUUCAUUAGAGAGCGAUAAUCUCAGGGGGGGUCUCCACCAAAAGACCGCCUGAUAUGGCUGAUUUGCUGGGGCCAUUUAUGCAAAAGGAGAAAUCUGUGUAAUAGUUAAAGUGAGUCAUUGUAAAUGGCAGAAGAGGUGCUUGACGCUGAGUUCAGUGCUGGAAGUUUGGUAGUUGUGGGAGUGCUCUCAGAGAUAGUGAAAGAGAGGAAGAUGAAUGAGGAAGGUUUGGAUUCAGAGCGUAACUGUUGGUUACGGUCCCAGAGAUCUGAAAUGUCACUGUGUGUGUGUUUGUGUGUGUCUGUGUGUUUGGUAGUCUAGCGGCUUUAUCUGCCUGGCAUUUCCUGCUUUCAGAAGCGACUACAGCACCCGGUACCAUCUGAUGACCCUCCAAAAGGCUCGGCCCUGCACAGAAUAUUGAGGGGAACACAUGUAACCUUAAGAGGACUCAGGGAGGCUUGGAUUUGGAGGAUGACACACUGGGUUUUGUCGCCUUUUCCGACACCAAGUUAUUUUGUGGGUGUUAUCUUCAUAGUGUCACAGGGGUUCAGAUGGUAUUCUGCCACUAUGACUUCCCUGAGACUCUUGUGUACUGGUAAUAAACUGAUCUAGAAUCAGACCAGCAGCUGAUUAAUACAGAUGAUAUGACACGUUCACAGCCGUCUGGCACGGACUCAGAGCUGCAACUUUGCCGUCUUUUCCACUUCAGUUCUGCGAGGAUAGAGGUUGACAUUUAGGUGCCAGCAGCCAAACAGAGACGUAAGACUGCAGGCACUCGACGCCCACCACAAUCUCUACUGGGGUUCUCCCGAGAGUGCAUAUUGAAAAUGUCACCAGAGAACCGUAUAUUAACACGGAAACUAUUCAAAAUUUUAGCAUUUUCAAUUUCGUUUUGCAGCUUCAAAUGAAGUUACACAUGGCUAUAAUGUGAAAAAAGUGUGGUUGUUGAAUUGAAAUGACACUUACAUGGAUUAUGUUUAUCAUUUGAAAGGUGCAUAACCAGCAAACAAGGUGAGAGAAACUCAUCUAAGUUUAUCUCAUGAGCCUAUUUUAAAAGUUUUCUCCAUUUCUUCCUGUCACACCAUUUAAGCCUCAUCUGACAGUAGUAUUUUUUUCUUCCCAUUACUGGCAUUUCCUUUUUAUAAUCAAGCCCCUGCUUUGACACUCUUCAUUUUCAGCUCCUUGCUGUAUAAUAUAUGUGCUCUUAAAUGUAUAGAUAACAAUGUAUGAAAGGUGAGGAGAUCACUUAUGGCUUUAAAAGAGGAUCUAUCUUUUAUACAUUUAAUGGAGAGCAUUUAAAAUUCUCUCUGAAUAUAAAUGAAUGAGUAAGUGUGUGUAUAUGUGUGUAAAUGUGGUAAUUGGGAGGCAGAGUGACGGUGGGGCACACACAGGAGUAACCCUUGUCGUACCAAGUGUAACCCAUGGAUAGAGCUGAACUUAUUAGUGGAGCUACCUUUCCUCUUCCUUCUCGUUCGCUGAAAAGAGCAACAGCGAAGCAACGAGACAGAGAGCACUGUGUGCACCUGUCUGCACAUUUUUCACUGCACUCUCAGACUUACUUCCAUACAGUGGAGGUGAACUAAUGAAUUUUUGGACCUCCAAAAAUGGCCUUCCCAGCUAAUGAAACAUCUGACAAAGAGUGGAAAACAUGAACUUUCUCAUCUAAUCAUAAGUAAGAAACGGUGUAUUUAUUCUUAAGGCAGUGUGUUGCAUAAUUAAAGAGAUGAUGUAUAGUGAGGAGUUGGUGACGCAAUUAAAAUACUGACAGGUAAGCAGGACCCCAAUGUGAGUUUCCUUUUAGGGAUCAAUAAAGUUCUUCUUAUCUUAUCUUAUGUGAAGAAAAGCAGUUACCAACUAAGAUAUGAACAAAUUGAUCAAAUAUUGAUCUCAAGUUGGUUUUAUUGAUGAAAAACGGACUCUUUCCUCUCCCAUUGCCAGUAACGCUUCAAUAGUAGCACAUUUUUACCAGCAUCCCACUGGGGCAAACAAACAUUGAAUUCAGCGUUUCAAUUCUUGGUCAAUCUAAAACACAGGCAUGCUUAUUUGUCAUCAUUUACAUUGGAAUGGAUAUUUCCAGUAAAGCUAACUGAGCAGGAUUUCAACAGACUCUUCUGUCCUUAUUCAGCUUUCCUUCUCAGGCUUUGUUUUUGACAUGCUUUUAAACAUAAACUACAUGGUGUCAGGAUUUUUAGCAUUGUUGCAAUGAUCAUAACUGCUUAUGGUUUAAGUGACUUUCCAACAGGUCAGGAUCUUGCUCCACUUUUCCCUCUCAGAGAUGGUUAGGGUCGAUUAGCUCCUCAGGCUGCUUUUACAUCUUUUCCCGGUAACUUUCAUUACUUCUCAAGGCCAGCUUGUGUAAAAGCAUGAAAAAAAACAUUUUUUUGUGAUGUUUUUAUCAUAAAUGAAUUGGGCCCUCCUAGGGCUGGGCAAUAAAAUGAUCACGAUAAAUAUCUAAAAUAAUUUCCCUCAGUAUCAAUAUAAAAAAUGGUCAAUAUGCUUACAGCAACAAGUGUAACAUCAUUGAGCCCCGAUCGAAUGACCUAGACAUCAUGCUGCCCAAAAUUAUAAAUCUUUUAAAAGAAAAAAAGAGAGGAAAGAAAAAGAAAUACAGCAAAAUGAGGAGAGGCAGCUGCUGACUGCUUUCUUUCCCAAAGGUGAACCCAGUUUGCUUGUUCUGCAAAGUCCAAUCAAAGUUAACAUAGGAGUAGCAAAAGAAAACCCCUUCUCCAUCUCCUCUGCUGCAGGUUCAGCUCUGAGUCUUCCUCUACAUGCUGCAUGAUGCUGUAAAUUUAAAGUAGACCCCAUAUCUACAUCCCUCAAUACAUCAGAUUCCUCAUCCACCGCUCCACCUAUCUACUGCUCAACUCUAGCCCCCUUUCCCUGCUCACCUGUGUGUCUGUCUGUCCCCCUCAGUGUCUCCCCCAGCUAAAUGGACGGACUCUAAUCAGAUGGCCCUUCCUCUUACAGCAAAGACAUUUCCUAUUUUCAGAGGUGACAUCAAUGAGAGUCAAAGUCAUCAACCCUCAGAUGACAACAGAUUGAGCUCCUCAUUCUUCUUGUUAAGGAUCAUCUAGACCAGACAUCCAUGAGAGACCACAUGGCUCAGUUGGGUACAUUGAAGAAGAUCACCUUCCUAGAUGGCAGAGAAAGAGGAGACACAGAUUUGAAAAAAGGAUGAUAAGAAGGGUAAUUGAGAGUAAACAACGAGCACAAACCAAACAACACAAAGAAAGAAGACAAGUUAGAAAAACUAAUGCUCCCUCAGAGGUCAACUAGAGAAAGAGAGAGAGAGAGAGAGAGUGUAUAUGUGUAUAUUUAAAUAUGUGUGGAUAUAAAACAGUGGAAGUCUUUCUGUGAUCCAUGAGUUUUUUAUGAGGUAAAUGAAUGAUGGUGCAGUUGAUUUUCAGGACCGCUGCAGCUUUACUAACCUUUGCUUGUUUGCUUGAGAGUCUAAAGUUCCCAUUGCCCCUCCCCUUCUCUGAUUUUAAAAGAACUGGAUUUCCCCUCCCAGAUCUGAUCACCUGAUCAGAUGUACAGUCUGAGGAUGGGUGUAACCAACAUAUACUGAGCUGACUUGAGAUCAGAAUUCAGAAUAGUUUGACCUCUCGGGAAAUAAAACUCAGCCAUUCGUUGACAGCGAGUGUUGAAAUGGCGCAGAAAGGGGUUCAUCUGGACCAGAAAUCUUUCUCUUGUUCCAUCUGUUUGGAUCUUCUGAAGGAUCCGUUGACUGUUUCCUGUGGAUACAGCCUCUGCAUGAGGUAUAUUCAGUUCCACUGGAAUACUGUGGAUGAGAAGAAGAUCUACAGUUGUCCUCAGUGCAGACAGACCUUCAUACCAAACAUGGCUUCAUCAUGUGUGUUUAUUUACUAGAUAUUUAAUUUAAUUUAAUGCGGUUUCAGCUGUGUUGAUGCGGUCAGGUUGUGUGUCCAAACACGAGCCAAACGCGCUCAUCAGAUCAGAUAUAGAUCAGAAUAUAUCUAUAUAGAUCUAAAUGUGCUGACUCAGAUUAUUAGUUGUUGUUGAUUAUUUAUUGCACUGAAAUGUGCCCGACGCUGUGGAAACCUGCCGGUGAGGCAUCGGUGACGUAUGUCGAUACGCCGCCGGUCUACCAAAAUACCACUAGACCAGCUGCACUCCGCCUGCGCUGAAAGCUGACCAGGUUUGAAUCAGCAAGCUUUCAGUGCACUUUACACGCCACUGGCGAGCACGAAAAUGUCACUGCGCCCGCUGAUUCUAUCGACACCUCCCCCUGCCACGCCACCAUGCCCAGAAAAUAGAGCCCAUGGUGUCAAGUCAGAAUUUGGCGCAACAAGCAUGACCAUCUUUGUAUGUAAACAAACAGCUGAUUGUUAGUUUCUUGAAGAUAAAUUCCAGUUAAUUUCAUAAAUAUCAAAAACUCCUUACCGAAGCUUUAAAUUACAGCUUAACAACUUUCAACGUGUGGUUUUCUGUCUCUGGUCUGGGCUCCUCCAGCAUGAGAGAAAUCAGGUGGGACAACUGCAAAAAAGCAGGGAUAUAUAUUCUCCCAUAGUCCAUCUCUGCUGUUGUGUGGAAAUGUGCCAGUUCUGACCCCACUUCUUCUCAUGAUGGCACCAAGAUUGGUCUUAAUCCUGAUACUUCAGCACGCUGGUAUGACCGUUUAACAAGUCAAGUGAUCAGCUAAUCUUAGUUGGCUGUGUUGGUUUGUGUGAGUGUGUGCGCUUGUGGAUCCACUUCAGUUUGAAGUAGCUGGUGCCAACAGAGGACCAACAGUGGGAGCACAACUACUCAGUAAAAGUGUAUUAGCUUUUUCUUGAUAUCCUGUGCAUUGAUCGUUUCUUGAAACAGGACGAUAAAAGGCAAAACAGGUGUGUCUCUUAUACCUGUCUUUGCUGUCUAUCCUUUCUUCCAUAUUUGGCAGUGAUUUGUACUUUGAUUCAUUUUCCCUCUGAAAACAGGUCUUUUAUGUCGCACCCACUCUACUUAUCCAUUUUCUUUUGCACAUGUGACUAACUUUGUAAAAUGACAUCUCAAAAAACCAAUGACUUGUGCAGCUGCAGGCUAAUUCAUCAUUAUAGCAGUUGGAAAGAAAAAAGGUUGGAAGGUCUCAUAUCUAAAUUACUCUUUCAUCUGCUUAUCCACUUUUUUGGUAUUUAACAUUUUGAUUUUAAUUCACACUUUACAUUCAGUGUUAAAUCCAGUUUAUUAUUUGUACAGAAACUCCUAUAUAACUCCUAUAUGCAGAAUCCUCACCAUUAGGAGUUUGCUGUCUUGCUGGUACAGUCAUUGAGCUCAGCCUUUGGAAGCUUUGAUUGUUUUGAGAUACAGAUCCAUGAAGAAUUUUGUCAAGAGUUAGACCACUCGCCUGGACUCUUCACUGUAUGUCUUCCAUUGCAAAGUCCUUUCAGUCAGACCAGGUUUACUUACUGAAAUGUUAGUGUCACUUGGCCACAGUGGCGUACAGGAUGCAGCCAAACCGACCAAAAAAAUAAAUAAAUAAGUGUGUUACAUGCUCCAAAUUUUGACCCAUAGAGACACCUUUUUUUUCUUUCUUUGAAUACACCUAAAACAGUGGGAUCAUCUUUCUUUCAGGCAUUGGUAAGAAAACCCUCUAGAGGGUCAGCUCUUUGUACAUGACUUAUUUUAUUGAAAUUAAGUUGCAAAUGUCAACUUUCCAGGUCAAUGCCUGAAUGAAAUCAGUCAUUCUUAGUGUUAGGGGGAAAACUGUAAGCUAUUAUAUUUGAGGCAACAUCACUGUGCCAAAGUAACCUGAUUUGAUUUCAGUUUGCUAUUAAAAUGGAAAACUAGUACAGGAGAAGGAGUUGACAAAAUCUGAAAACUGUCAUGAAACACUACAGAUGAAAGUUGAGGAAGUUUUCUUUCUUUUUCAAUCUUAGUAUUUCCAAAUUCCAGCAGUGGGAACCUCUGGAUCUACUACUGCCGCAAGUGUACAUGUGAUAUCACUACUCUUACAAGAAAAAAGUAUACCUAAAGUACAUUUUAUAAAGUAUACUUAAGUUCAUUUUAGUAUACUUCUCAAAGUAUGCUUUGUACACUGAUACAAAUAUACCACCAGUGUACUUAAAAGUAAACUUCUUGGGACCAAAUUGGCUCAAUUUAGUUUAUUAAAGUACGCUUGAAGCAUACUUGAAAGUAAACUUAUAGGUAUACUUACUAGUAAUAAACUUCCAGUCUCUUUUAGUUUAUAAAAGUUCACUCUGAAGCAUACCUUUAUUAAUAUUCUUUGUUUGUGUGUGUGUGUGUGUGUGUGUGUGUGUGUGUGUGUGGGGUAGGGGGGGGGGGGGGGGGGGCAGACGGACAUGCGGCACAUGGUCAGAACAGGAAUCAAACUCGUGAUCACAGUGAGGACCACAGUUAAUCUACUCGGCUAUCUGCACUCUGACUCUGAAGCAUUGGUAUACUAUUAUUUCAAUAGUAGUACAUAUUUGUAUACUUGGCUUUUACUGCUUAUCUUUUUAAGAGUACACUCAGAGAGUAUACUCUUAAAAAGAUAAAUGAAAUAUUCACUGACCAAGUAUACUUAAACCUAAGGCACAAAUACAUACUUAAGUAUAUCUGGAACAGAAGUUUAUGUCUAAGUAAAGGUUAAAUAUAUUUAGAGUUUUAAUAUAAUUCUUAGUACAAGCCAAGUAAACUUAAUAAUAACUGUGAAGUAUAUCUCUGAAAAGUGCAUAAAAAGUCAACUGAAAGCAUACUUAGUUUAAACACAGUAUACUUGAAGUACACUUCAACAUACUUCUUUUUGGUAAGGGUAGGUUUCAGCAAUUUGCUUUUGCAAAAUUUUCUAGACACUUUAUGUCUCCAUAUUUUAAAGAAAAAACUGCCAUCUUAUAAAUAUAUUUUGCUGCAUGUUACAUACAGCGUCCUUGCUGAUAGCCAUCAGACAGGUUUUCUUAUUUUCUAAGCCUGUUCAUACAGAUGGAGUAUCUUGUCUUGUGUCAUGCCUCCGUAUCCGAAAGCUGAAACCUGUUGGUGUGUAAAGGUAUUGACUGAGUGCACACAUGACGUACAGCACCCUCUGUGAAAAGCAAAAGGAUCAGAAGAGAUUAGACAAGCGGAGGGGAUAAAGAUAGCGCUAAAGACAGGCUUUGUUUUUGGCCCCCUUAUGAGCCAGGGCUCCUGCUAAUUACCAAGCUCUCUGGUCCUUGCUAAAUGUGUUUGAAAUCCACUGGAUGCAGAUAAUUGAGCUGGAAAUGUGUUACAUGACAAAGUCACGCUGAAGGACAACCACUAAAAAAGGCCUCCUCUCCUCUGAUUCCCCCUCUGUUUUGUCUGUCAGGCUCACUUCUGAAAUGAAACUCCCAUCAAAUGAUUCAUUCCACGGCGUUUGUCUUUGUUGUUUGUCGAGAUUGAAGCUUAGGGGAUGUUUGAGGCACCUAUUGUGAUAAGCUAGAGUCAAAACAGAGACAGGCUGAUGGCGAAUGUGUCAGACAGGCCUUGAGUUUUCUUGUUGCCCAAAUAAUUGCUUUUAGCCCUCAGUUUAGGGAUGUGAGCCUUUAAAGCUCCCACACACAUAAUCAUAGCAAAGUGGAAAAAAUGUUUCUUGGCCACAGGCAGGCACGUGUGUCCAUGCAGCUCACUUUGUACAGAUUCUGUUAAAGCCUUAAUCUCAAAUUGAUUUCAGUGCUUGGUAUAAAAAUUGAUUUACUGACUGGGAUACAUUGAUCCCAGGCAGAGACCCGCCUCCCCCGAGACUGUUGGAGUGACUGUUGGAGUAAAAUGAAAACAAGGUAAAGAGAGACUCCCUGUUGUUAAAAUUAGCAUUUUAAUUAUGAAUUGCAUCAUUGCACUGAGUGUGGUAACAAAAACAACUCCCCUGCCCUCUUUUCACUCCUCCCUUUUGCUUCCAGCUCGACUGGCUUCAUGCGAAUGAAACUUCAUGCGGAGCCCCUCUGCAGGGCGGGAAAAUAAACGGGCAGGCUUAUACGUAAGAGCACAGCCGGCAGCCAGUCGCCAGCAGCAUGGAUGAAGGUGAAAUACGUUUAACCUCAGUCACUGCACAAAUAUUGUUCUCCAUCAGCUUAGUUCAGAGGAAGGAAGACCAUAUUGUCAAAGAAGAUUUCUGUUUUGAUGGUACGACGGACUGUUUGAGAGGCUGUCUGUGUUUGAGAAGAGGACUAACAGAGGAAGAGAGGGAGAGUGCUGUGGACUGCAGCCAGUAUCAUUUUGUCAUUUAGAAAGUGCUUUGCUGUUGUUAUCUUGGCUACAUGGGCCCACUGUGGUUUGAUGCCUGCCUCAGAGUAUAUAAUUUCUGUUUUUUCAAGUCUCACAUUUCCUUAGUGGAUUUGGCUCUCUGUGCUGCGUGUGUAGAAGAGUCAGUAUGUUUUGUGCUGUGAGUAUAGAGCGAUUAUUGAUCACAUUGGAAGAGUGUGUGAGCGCUCACUGAAAGGCUUUAGAUGUGGGACUUAAAGCUCCAGUCUGUUGCGCAUGAUGGUGUUAUACUAACACACAAAGCCUCUCCCAGAGUUUUGGGUGUGUAUGAAUCACAUGCAACAGAGUUACAACUAUCAAGUAGGUGCAGCAGUAAGGCGGAGCAGUGGUUUCUUGAGGAUCGUGUCCAUCUAAUUAUUUCUUCAUCUCCCUGCAGGUCAAUAUAAUUGAAUAUGCUGUAUCAGAUUUUUCUAACUGAAUGUGAAAAAUGUUGGGAGGAGAGUAUGUGGAUAGAUGGAUUUGACAUGCAGUAAAGGAGUUUGUGGGAGCAAGACAUUACACCAGUACUUGUUCAUAAAACGUUUAUUCACAGAUGAAACUUUGUGCAAAAAAAAAAAAAGGAAGGAUACACACAGACACAGUAUACUCAAGAUUCAGUUUUUUUAUUGUCCAUUUCUGUCAUAUGUGAGUACAUACACUGGAAUUGAAUAAGACAUUUCUCUGCAGCCCACCAUGCAAAGAUAUAGAGAAUAUAUUAAAAAUGCAGUGAAAUACAUUAGGGGAGAGUGGAAAGUCCAGUAAAUUGGUUGUGGGCAGUGGAUCUAUACCUGAUACCUGUCAAUAUGAUGAUGCUCUUAAGUAGCGUUUUCCAGUCAUAUUAAGUCUGACUUAUUGACUUAAACACACAGGGCCUGAUUCACCAAUAGCACCAAAAGUUAUGCAUCAUUUGCACAUCUCUGCUCCAUAUCUGGGUUGUAUGUAGAAGGACACGUCUCACCUGUUGAUCUGAUCUGGUGGAUGAGAUGGCUCAUUUAAAUGUAAGCAAACUGCACCAAUGCACAGAGACGCUGUUUGCAGCACAGCUUGUGGAGCAUUCAGUUCUUUGCCUGUGCUUUGUGACUUGGACCAUGUUGUUUUAACUUAUUUGCACAAGAUUGAUAAGUGUAUAAGCCAUGUAAUCCCUUAGUGAAUUGGGCCAACAAGAACAGUUUAAUACAGGAUGUACUCAGGGUUAAAAAGCCACCAAGAGGUGCUUUGAAAAAUAUUACAAACAAACAUAUAUCUGCUGCAAAAUGAUACAUAAGACGUGUUAAACAACAGUUUGUUAUGACUAAUCAUGGUGAGAUAAGUUUGACGAAGGUUUAGAUAUUUUUUCCGAUUCACUAUCGAACAAAAAUAAAUUAAUUAAUUAAAAAAAAAAAAAAAGGUUACGUGAUCUGACAUAGGAUGAUGAAAAAUGUUUCCUCUCCGUGAUCAGAUUAUUUCUCACAUUUAACAUGAAUCAUGAGAACUAAAGUAAGAGAUUUGUAUCUAUCUUUAAACAAAAAAAAACACUCAUUACAUGCCUGCUGAUGUUCAUAUAAGGCUGAUUAUUAUUUAAAAGGUGUUAGGAUCUUUAUUUCCAGAGACUCCAAACCUAACCAAUGAUCACACUUUCAAGAAACCUAACCAAUCUCUUUGUUUACCUUUAAUUUCAAUGUAAACUAACCCUUAAUUACAGCCACUUAUUAUUAUUAUUCAUUCUUAUUAUUUUCUGCAACUAAACUCAAUCUUUAUGAUAAAGUGAAGUCUGAUCAGCCUCUGCAUCCUUAGAUCAGGGAUGAACCUGUCAGCUACAUUAAAACAUCUUAUCCCAUCAGUCUUCUGACCCCCCCCCCCCCUUUAUCCUCUCUCCUCUGAACAACAAAAAUAGUUGUUGGCAACUACAUAACAUGGUUGACCUAAAACUAAUACUUGCAGCCUCUCCAAAAUGCACAACCAGUUCACCUUCUUGGGUUCUCAUUAAGAAACCGUGAUCCUUGAACACCACAAGAUGUCAUUGGUCAUCUGUGCAAGAAACAGAGUUUCAACAAAAGAAUUAGAUGAAUAGAAGUAUUAUAGCAUCAUGACAGCAAGCGUAAACCUGAUAUAUAGUCCCAGCCAGUGGUGGAUGGCUGCACUUUGUAUAAGACAAGAUAUAACCAGGAAUUCAGGCUACAAUAAGAAAGAUAUUUAAGUGAAGAUAAUAUUUGGUGUCUUGUACGUCUGUUGAAUCCUGGAAGUGAAGGUGAUGACGUUAAAUCGUUAAAUCACCACAAUGUAUUCAUCUCUUGUAAAAAUUACCAUAUAAUGAGCUUAAAUAUCCUCUAAGUUCACAUAGUGAAGAUGGACAGUAAUAAAGAGAAGUACAACCACACAGAGUUUAAAUAGUGGACUUACAUGAAUGAAAAGGUAACAAGCUAACAAUUUUAAACUUUUAAUCAAUGCUGUGAUGUGUGUUGUUUUAGGUUAAACGUUUGAUAUCUAGACUGAGACAGGCAGUCAGACGGCAGCUGGUCAGCUCUGCAAAGCAAAGAUUUGGGAAAGAUCAGAGAGGAUGGAGGGGAAGAAAAGAUGGCAAUGGCCAGAUUUUGACCAGAUGCUCCAAUCUUUGUCUUUUUUGGCCUUUGAAUUACAUUUGAAUGAGAUAACAUUUUGCCACAGUGAGUCAUUUAUAACAUCACUGAUGAAUAAUAAUAUAGCAUGUCCAAGUUAGAGGACAGGAGUCAUAACUAUGGGUUGUUAUAACACGUAUGGGAUCAUGUUAUGUUUUUCAAAGGGAAUUGAAAACAAGCAUUGUAAAUGAUAUUCAUUAAAGGCCUUGUAUGUCUCAUUUAUCUUUGUUUUUAUAUAGAAAUAGAUGCACAGCAUUUAAUAAUAUAAUUAUUACUCUUUACAAGAGGUGGAAAAAGCAUUGAUAUAGCAGUAUAUCUUUGCACCUUCUUAUAUAAAUAAAUAUGGCGCUCUAAUGAGAAGAAUCGGGGUAGUGUGAAUGGUAGUUGAUUAAUAAAAGGUUGAUAGCAGGAUGAAAACAGACGUUUUAAAGUGGGGAAAAGAUGCCCAGAGAUAAGCUAGCUUUGUUUUAAACUUUCUAGAAGAAUAACAGGAAACACUAUUCCAGCUCUUUAUGUGUAGACAAGGGGGUAAGUGGGGCAUGGACUUUAGUCUGCAGGGAGAGUUUCACUCACCAUUUAAAAAAAAAUGACUCUCUCGUGUCAUUUUAGUUUAAUGUCUGAAAAUUGACAUUUUUAAAAUUUUUAAUUGAAUCAAACCAAAGUGAACAAAAUAUAUGAACUCUCUACUUUGCCUCUGUGGGACAUGCUUUAUUUGUUAGAUACUUUAAUUGAGGGGUAAGAUGCAUUUUUUAGACUUUAUAUUUCCUCUCUGAUGCCUCUUUGAUAGCUUUAUGUGAUUUUAUGAUCAAAAGCCGCAAAUUUCUCACAGUGCAUAAACUAUGAUCUUACGAUUUCACAUAUUUGUCUGAGAUUUGAGUUCAUAUCUACUUCCUCAGAUUAAGACAACAUACAUUAACGUUGUGAUUAGAAACUUUGCAUACAUGUAGUAUGGACACCAAACUUUAUAACAUUGCAGUUUUUGCUGUAAAUGUGGAAGAGCAUGAUACCCCCCCUUAAACAUAAAGUCAUGAUGUUUUGGUACGGUACUGUAUUGUAUUGUUUAAACUGUUUGCUUAAAUGCUUAAAUGUCACUGCCUCCAUGACUUCCAGUGGUACCCCACCAUUUUUUCUAUAUCCAUCAGCAUCCAGAAAACAUGUAGACAAGAUUAACAUGGCAGGUGAACAAAAAGCCCUGUCCAUAUAUAUAUGUUUAUGAUACGUCAUCAAGAUGGCGCCCGGAGUAGGCACCCUGGUGUUCCGGUGCUCAUUGUUUUGUCUGUUUUUGUGCUUUAACCGUGUGUCAUCGUGCUCCUACACCCGUGAGGAGCUUCUAAACAUCAGAUCAACAACACCCACGUACAUUACACCAGUUUUUUUGGCAUCUGCUGCUCAAUUGGUCCACUUUUUGGCCAAAAGAGUGAGAUGUCGGCGAAGGGGAAAGCGAGCUGGGGUGCUUGCGCGUCUCAGACAGCGAGGCACGCGUACGCCCUUACCUGGGAUUUUCCUCUCGAACGUCCGCUCACUCAGCAACAAGAUGGAUGAGCUGGCACUGCUGAUAAAGAAGAAUAGAGACUUCUUCUCUUCUUGUGUUCUGUGCUUCAUGGAGACGUGGCUAAAUGCACAGACACCUGACUGCGCCAUACAACUGGAGGGUUUUCAGCUCCUCCGCGCAGACAGGGAUCGUGUACUCUUCAGUGGGAAAACAAAAGGUGGAGGAGUCUGCUUCUACAUCAACAACGCCUGGUGCUCCGACGUGACAGUGAUCUCCCAACACUGUUCUCCCUCUCUGGAAUAUCUCUUCAUAAAAUGCAAACCGUUCUACUGUCCACGUGAGUUUGUCUCAUUCAUACUCUGUUCUGUUUACAUUCCACCAAGUGCGGAUGUGCACAAGGCCGAGCGCGCGCUCGCGGAGCAGGUUAUGAGCGUAGAGAGGAACUUUCUGGACUCCUUAGUCAUAAUUCUUGGUGAUUUUAACAAAGGAAAUCUCAGUCAGAAACUACCAAAAUACAAACAGUUUAUAACAUGCCCGACCAGAGAGGGGAACACAUUAGAUCACUGUUACACUACAGUAAGUGGUGCCUAUCGCACUGUGGCUCGCGCAGCUUUUGGACUCUCAGAUCACUCCACGGUUCACCUGAUCCCUGCGUACAGACAGAGACUAGAACUCUGUUAACCUGUAGUGAGGACAUCCAAAGUGUGGACCAGUGAAGCUGUGGAGGAGCUACGCACGUGCUUGGACACCACGUACUGGGAUAUGUUUAAGGCUUCUACAGACAGUCUAGACGAUUACACAGACACUGUGACGUCAUAUAUUUAUUUUUGUGAAGACAGCAUCAUCCCGCAGCCCUGGUUUACAUCAAAACUCCGGCAGCUCCGUCAGCAGAAAGAGGUGGCUUUCAGGGAAGAUGACAGAGACCGCUACAAAUGUGCCAAGUACAGUUUUAGUAAGUAGGUGGCAAAGACUAAAGCUAGGUACAACGAACAAGCAGCAAAGAUCCUCUGCCAACGACCCUGCCUCGGUGCGGAGGGGGUAGAAAGAGAUCACCAACUACAAGCCCAAAGCACCUCGUUCAACUGACGACCUAAAACUAGCCAACGACCUGAACGACUUCUAUUCAUGCUUUGAAGUCAUGGACUCACACCCCCUCACCCCCCACACAACUGGAAAUUCAACCACCCUGGUCCUCCCCCCUCCCCCUGCUGCCCUCUCGGUCCAUGAAGAGGAAGUAAACAGACUGUUUAAGCGUCUGAGUCCACACAAGGCUGCUGGCCCGGACUGUGUCUCUCCUGCCACUCUGAGACACUGCGCUGAUGAGCUAGCUCCAGUCUUCACGGGGAUCUUCAACACCUCCCUGGAGUCAUGCCAUGUUCCUGCCUGUUUCAAGUCCUCUAUCAUUGAUCCCAUCCCCAAAAAACCUCACGUAACUGGACUUAAUGACUACAGGCCGGUGGCUCUUACGUCUGUAGUCAUGAAGACCUUUGAACGCCUGGUUUUAUCCCACCUGAAGUCCAUCACCGACCCCCUCCUGGACCUUCUGCAAUUUGCCUACAGAGCCAACAGGUCUGUAGACGACGCCAUAAACCUGGCCCUGCAUUUCAUCCUGCAGCACCUGGACUCCCCAGGAUCCUACGCUAGGAUCCUGUUUGUGGAUUUCAGCUCUGCAUUCAACACCAUCCUUCCGGCUUUGCUCCAGAACAAGCUUUCCCUGCUCCAUGUGCCUGAUUUCACCUGCAGGUGGAUCACAGACUCCCUGACGGACCAGAGUCAGUGUGUGCGGCUGGGGAAGAAUGUUUUGGACACUCGGGCUCUCAGCACAGGAUCUCCACAGGGCUGUGUACUUUCCCCUCUGCUCUUCUCCCUGUACACCAACUGCUGCACCUCCAGCCAUGAUUCCGUUAAGCUCAUCAAGUUUGCGGAUGACACUACCCUCAUUGGACUCAUUUCGGAUGGAGAUGAGUCUGCUUACAGGCUGGAGGUGGACCGGCUGGUCACCUGGUGCAGCAGCAACAACCUCGAGCUCAACGCCCAGAAGACAGUGGAGAUGAUCGUGGACUUUGGUAAAGCCACAGCCCCCCUGCCCUCCCUCGACCUCACCGACUCCCCCAUCACCACUGUGGACUUCUACCGCUUCCUCGGCACCACCAUCACCCAGGACCUCAAGUGGGAGCCAACCAUCAGCUCCCUCAUCAAGAAGGCCCAGCAGAGGAUGUACUUCUUACGGCAGCUGAGGAAAGCCAAGCUGCCGGUCCAGCUGAUGGUGCAAUUCUACAUGGCCAUCAUCGAGUCCAUCCUCAGCUCCUCCAUCACGGUGUGGUACGCCGGGGCCAAUGUUAGGGACAGACACAGACUGCAGUGCAUUGUGGGCUCUGCUGAGAAGGUGAUCGGCGGUAGCCUUCCAUCUCUCCAUGACCUGUACGACUCCAGGACUCAGGGCCCAGCAGGUCGGAUCGCAGCUGACCGUUCUCACCCUGCACACGGACUAUUUGAGACCCUCCCCUCAGGCAGGAGGCUACGGUCCAUUUGGACCAGAACCUCCCGCCAUAAGAACAGUUUCUUCCCCUCUGUUGUGGACUCAUGAACACUUUAUAACUCAGUCACUUUAAAUCCGUCACUUUAUCACUGGUCACUUUAGUUCAAUGUACCUUGGUUUUUUAAUUGCACUCCUCCCACUGCACUGUUGUUCUGUAUUGUGUAGUUGUACAUAGCCUGUUAUACUUACUGUACAUAGCAUUGUACAUAGCCUUUUAUACUUUAUAUAUGUCCUGCAUGCUCUUAUUAUUUUCUAUUCUAGUAUUUUAUGUGUUAUUCUCUGUUUAAAGUUGCACCAUCAUGCCGUAAAAAAUUCCUAGUCUGUGAAUCCUGUUCAUUGACAAUGGCAAUAAAACCCCUUCUGAUUCUGAUUUAUUAGCCAAAGAGCAUGUUGUUUGAAAAAAUGAACUUAAAGCCUAAAGUAGCAAGCAGAGGUGAACUCCAGAAAACAGCUCUUUGUUGAGGGUUCACUGCCCACCGUCUCCAGUGGUAUGAAGAUGGUCUGAAAAUGGUCAUUUAGUUUUGUCCUAAUGUUCAACUGUCUUCCUGUAGUUCACUGAAAGCAGAAUUACUUUUUUGGGAGGAGUUUUCUGGAAGCUGCUGUCAGUCUCAUGUCAAAGAACAAGCUACACUGUGAAGUGAUUUGUUGGAAAUGGAGACCAAAGCAUGAAUGCGAUGACUGCUUAUCUCUGAAGCUGACACCAGAAUGAAGUUAAUUAAUAUUGCCACUCACAUUACUGGUAGGUAUACUUAAUGCUGUGAAGUGCAAUUAGGAUAUUAACAUUAUUAAUUUAGGCUCAGCUAUCUCAUUCUCCUGAUGGGGGGCUUAUCAUGGUAUUUUUGUUAUCUUAGCCACACAUAUUUGCACUUUUCUCAAUUUUACAUCCUCUUAAGUCGGAUAUGUGAUUAAACUAGGGGCUGAAUCAAGAAGUAAACUGUGUGGCUUAGUUGCUGUGUUCUAUAGCAAUCUGGGCAGGGAUGAAAAGAAAGUAGGGAUUUGGAGUGACUGUUUCAAAGAGGUGGAAACGAGGAGAGACAGUAGAAGAGAGAGAAAUAGAGAGGGGGCCUUUAGUGAUAUGGUGAUGUUGGUUCUUUGGGGUUUGUUCUACGGUCAGGGAGGGCCUCUGUCUCCGCCGGCGCCUCUUAAUCCAUCACACCUCCUGUGGCCCUGCAUCUGACACACUCCAGCGUCAGUCUGACCUGCAGCCAGGUUGGUGCUUAGCCCGUUUCCACAUGUGUGUCUGCUGUUCUCUUAUCCCUGUUCUCACCCUCCUGUUCUCUGUCUGAGGAAGUGGCUGGGUUAUCAGCAGUGCCUCUGGCGAGAUGAACACAUUUUCAUACAGUACAUACUCCACAUCCAGCCUUGUUCACAAGCGUGUGUCCUUCACUCACAGCUGAGAGGAAAUACUCCUCCUGCUGCAUAUUCAGUUUCAGUCUCACCUUCAGCAGCUUCUCAGAUGCUUUGUUUUUUCAUAAAUGUUUUCUCAAGUGACCCCACUCACCAUAACCUCCAAAUCUCUUAUAAUUGGUUAUUUUGAAUCACUUCUGAUAGGUGGUUUUUGUGUGUGUGUGAGCCUUUUGACUGGGAGUGAACCUCAAGGCAUCUGAUUUUUAAGAAUUGGUCUCAGCCACCUCACUUGAUCAAUCUUGCUGAUCCCUCGGAUUCAACCACACAUGCUUCUUGUAACCUUUCAUCCACUUUAAUGGGAUCUGACCUUAAAAUGAGUGGGCUUCAUUAACCCUCUGUCAGAUUUUCUGACCACAGUUGGAAGGAUGAGGGAGGUAGGGGUGUUGAAAAAAAGCCCAGGGUUGACUCUGUGCUGCGGAAGAGCCAGCUAGCAUGUGGGUGUUUGAUUUACGUUCAGACUUGCGUCACACAUACGCUCAAAGUGUCGCUCUGCCAUUUAGCCACAGCUCUUUGGCAUGUUUUCACACUUUGUAGUGUGUCCCUCUAAACUCUGCAGCCCAUCUCUGUACCUCACUGUUUCUCUCGCUGCCUAUUGUCACACAAGGUGACCCUUGAAAAACUCCAGGAGCCCUGCUGGGAUCGUUGCUCUUUUCUGCAGCAGCCAAAUCACACAGCUCCACCCCCUGUCUACCUGGUGGUGGCAAUUCAGCAUCUACUACCCGAUUUUUUCUUCCCCAGCAGGAGCCACGGCCUAAAGGAAGAGGCUAGUGGGUGGUUCUGUGUAUUUGAUGAUUCCCUUUUAAUUUGCUAGCUAAAGGGAAUUUAGAUGAAGUUGCAUUGUGUGUGUGUGUGUGUGUGUGUGUGUGUGUGUGUGCAUUUGUGUGCGUUUGUAAGUGAUUGUGUGCUUGCAUGUCGAAAAUGUUUUUGUUUUUUGUGUUAGUCUAUUAUGAAUUGAUGUUUUCUUUUUGAGAGUCUCAGCACUAGCUGUAAUGAAUUCCAGAAGGCUUUCCGUCUCUCUGUUCUGUCGCUCUUCACCUCCUAUUUCACAGCAGGCCUGGUCGCCUCAAGUCCCUGCCAUAUGGCCGUACUGAAGCAUUUUCGGGAUAAACUUCAUACAAAUCCAUUGAUAUAACAGCACAGAAAGGGCUUACCGUCAUCAUCAUCAUCAUCACCAGCAGCUAUAGCUGUGUGUGCAUGCUGGUGACAAUGGAAAAGUACUGUAAAGUUACCUUCUGUGCCUUUAGAGUUAAUAAUUAUAAAAUUAAAUCUAAUUAAAUAUAGCUUUUCAGGGCAGAACAACGCCUGCAUAUGCCUCCGAGGAAAGAUUCAGCACAGUCACUAUUUAUAGGACAGUGAAAUAGAGCUUUUGUUUUUGUAUUUUGCUAUGAUGUUAUUGUUUCUGCUGGGAACAGACAGAAAACUUUAGGAGACCGAGGUUACAGAGUGCAACUGAGGUCCCUGACCGAAAGUAAACCCAUGUUGUAUUUAAUGAGCUGUAUCUGAUUGGAAACAUGUAUUAGCUCAGCUGUAAAUAGUGCACAGUUUAGUUCUGUGCAGUAGUUAAAAAAGGACCAAUAAGGAUUUAUGCACAUUUUAAGUGAAUUGUUAAUUUGAUCAUAAAAAUGCCUUCCUUGGGCAAACUGUAUCAGAUACAGUAUAUAAAUAAAGUUUUGUUAAACUGAGGUCAAACUUUCCCAAAUGCAUUAAAUAUGUUGACUGUAGGUUUACUGAGAGCCAGCUCAAGGCCGAACAUCUGCGGUCCUGUUAGAUCUUGUUUGGAAUGUUUGAUGGGGGAAUUAAAUGUUUAUCUAUAUAACGCCAAUUCACAACAAGUAUUAUCCAGAGACACUAACAAAAAAGCUGGGAGUGAGUCUGGCAAAUCAGACAACUCCCAUGUGUGUGUGGGUAAUGAAUCAGCUGUGUGAUCGCCUACAUUAACUCGCUAAUGCUAGUACUCGGCGCACGCACUCGGCAGUGCAUCACACAUAUGUAUACUGAUACAUAUGUCCAAGGUAGUGCCACGUAAGAAAAAACCUCACUUUUAAGGUGUAUCAGCCUGUAUCUACAGUGGAAGACUAGAUAUACUGGCACACUGAAGAAGCCAGCCAGGCUACGUGCCUGCAAUGGUCCCACUAAAGGCAUUAGAUGUACAUGGAAAAUAAAUCACAUCUUGCUCAUUUCUCAGCUGAUUUUCAUGCGGUUUACUUUAUUUUCAGAGCCGAAACAUGGGCUUUUAAAACAGGACAUUAGAUUUUGCAUUUGUGUUUUUUCUUUUGCAAAGCGUUUUGGAUAUGCAAAUCGUCUGACACUUCCCGGCCACCGUACCCAUCCCAUCUUCAACCACAUAAGUGAAACACUUUACAGCAUUUAUAACAGGCAGAAACCUCAAGCAGAAAGAGACUCAUGUUAGACAGUCAUCUGCUGAGACUGAGCUGGGUUUAAAGAGGAGAAAGAGAGAGAUGGACAGAGGAGAGGCUGAUGUAGGGAGAUGAGGUGAGAUUAAUGCAUAUUGUUGAAGCAGCUGUGGCAGCGAUCCAGAGGAACCUCCAUCAUGGAGCUCAUGAUGGAGGACUCCUAGCAAAGACUUUGUGUAGUGAAUUAUACAAACCAAACAUCUUUAACAUGGGUUGAGGCCCUUUAGGUGCUGCUGAUGUUAGCUAGCAACUUGUGUAGUAGUCCAAGUAACUUUAGCAUCUGUCUUACUUUUCUGGAUGCAGAUGUCUUUAAAGGCUGGAUCUUUUCUCCGCCUUUUCUGUGAUAGUUAUUUUUUAUAUGUUAACACGUUGUACUCCUUUCACUUACAAUUGAUGUGAAAUCUUUGAAAGCAAAUGGCAUGUUUUGUUGCACCAUUUAUGGCAUCCUGAUCAAAACUGUUGCUGAUCAGGUCUGAGUCAAGCCAGAAGUCUUAAAAAUCAGGCUUUUGAACUGCAUCACACACAGGGACACCAAUAUUACAUUGUUGCAGACUCAAAAUGGCUGUAUGCCUCCUGCACCUGCUAAACCUGUGAAAACAGACCAAAGAGACAACCUCUAAUUCACAAAUGUGCCAAGGGUUGAAUGUACCACAAGCUGCGCUUUAGUGCAAACAGCAUGAUUGUGAUUGUUUGCAUAUAUUUGUAUACACUCAUUUGGAGCAAAAUAUGCCAGUUUCUCUGCAAAUGAACCUCAUCAUAAAGAACACCUAAUUUCCCUACAUCAGUGUGAACCACAACACACAGAGAGACAAUCUGACUGUUCUGAUGGGUUUGUGCCACAGUGAGUGAAAAUGUUGGUCUUUAACUCUUCCAUGAUGAAAACUUUAAUCUGACCUCUGAAUAACCUCUAAAUCUAUCUGUACAUAAAGUCUGUUGAUAUUAUGUUGACAAAACCUUGAUUUCUUUUCAUGAGUCAGACUAUACAAGCUGGGCCAUUUCAAAUCAUAGUGGUAUUGAUAUUAAUUGAAAUCUGUGUAAUAUCUGACUACAUAAUAAAAUGGCGAGGAUUUUGCCUCUCCAUCUAGCCAAACAUACAUUGUACGUGGAAAGACUGCAGAGCUGUCUAGAUAAGAGUGCACAGCUCUCUGCAGCAGAGAGUGGAAAUGCAAGCAGCUCAUUUUGGUCACAGCUAAGUGCAAGACUUGCGCAAAGCAGAGCUUUAAUGGUGUUUUUAUGCUUUAGUAUCGCCAGCUCAAUAUGCUAUGCAAAUCAGACCGUGAGACAGAGACAGUGGAGUCAAAUGAUAUGCAAUUAUUUGUGCAAUGAUUGGUUGUUCUCAGUGAAUCUGCCCUGGAUGUGUGCUUAUUAUGCAUUUUUGGGGGGGUAUUUGAAAUAAUGAAGCUCAUCAUGUCACCAUAAGCUAUUUCCGAUAAAAAUAUUUUUUGGGGGGUGGGGUUGCCUCUAAAAGUUUGGAUGAUAUUGUGGAAAAAAAGAGAAAUAGUUUGAUGAGAGUCUGAUAACUAUUCUUUAUUUUAAUUAAGAAUGCUUUAAAGGCAUAACUAGUGACCACCUUGCGAAGGCAGCACAUAUGGGAAAUAAACCAGGUAAUAUUGCAUUGUCUCCUGCGGGCAGACUUACAGGUUGGAAUUUCUGUGCAGAUGUCAUGUGCAUCAGCAGCUACUCAGAUUGUCACGAGCACAGAUGGAAAAACAAAUGAACAGAAAUGUGUCCCCAAGUGUAAAUAUGCAUUGUAAGCUGUUCACAUUAUCAGAUUUGCAGAUGGAGGAAGCAUAUGCACAGUAAUAUAUGCUCUCACUUUGCAGAAUAUACAGAUGGAGUUCAUAUCACAGCACAAGCGUUAUGGCGCUGUGUGCUGUUUGUCAUGUGUGGAGGCUGUGAUGUGGUUACUGUAUGUGACGGAGCGGUCAGGAACUGGACAGCUGGCCUGGCAACCUCCACCUCUCACACUGAUGGAGGAGAAGGCAGAUGCGGCUUCACCUCGCUUGGCUCUUGUUUAUACAGAGGAAGUCGAAUCUAUCUGUCUGUUGGUUUGUCAGACUCUCCUCCCUGGCGUGUUGAGGUGUGUGACAGAGAGAUGGAGAGAGAUGGAGGCUAGACUGGCAGAGUGAGAGCACACUGUCUCUGUAAUGAAUAUAAAUGGGCUCCAGGUCUCUCUCUCUGAAAACAGGCACGGGGCUGCAAGGGUGUGGGAUGGAGACGGCCCCUCCUAUUUUCCUCCCCUCUUUAUUCACCCACUCACUUACUGCAUUGUAUACACAGAACAUGCAGACUAAUACACAUUUGCCCUGACUUCGUUUAGCAGUGGCGACUCUGUGAUCCCUAAAGCCCCGGGUCAUUCAAAUGAGCUUUUAGUGAGACUCUCGGGACAAUAAAACUUCAUCAUAGAGUUACUGGAGUAGCAGGGUUUAAAGAGCAUGUUAGUAGAGAAAUUUGACUAAAAUUUGCAGUUAACUGUUUGUUUCUUAAGGCUAACUCUUGUUACAACUCAGCUUGAGUUUGUGGUGGUUUGAAAUGUUCAUUACAGCAGCAGAGCACUGUGUUUAUUGGGUCUGUGCUCCGACCUUAAGAGUCCCUGCAGCUUAAUACUUUAACCACACGAUAUGCUCACUGCUUAUAACACUAAACAUUCACAUAACAUUAUUAGCUAUAAGAUGAUAUGCAUGCUCAUUAUCACUCAUAGGGAUUGUGUUAAAACCUUAUAGAUGCAUUUAUAACCUUUAUAAAUGUACCUAUGAUCAUAGACUGUAUAUACUAUGGACAACUUGGUUCCGCCUUCCAUCAUUAUACAAAUUUGAAGCCAAAUUGUUCUCUGUAUUUCUAGGGUUUUUGCCACUUCCUGGAACCACCACUUGCACAGUGGCAUGGUACGGAUACGGCAGGAGAGUUGCUGUGAUGAUGCUCGGCUCAAACAGCGUUUCCCCGGGUGAUCUACAUAAUCUUGG
rnacentral:lncRNA from 1 species